CUCUAAAAUAAUGAGUGAAUCUUACAGGUAAGUGUCAUUAUUCUUUCAAAUACCCUGUAUGCAUGCUACUAAACUAAGUCCUCAUGCCCAAAUUAUCGUGAUUCAAAAUAAACAACCUCUGAAUUGUUAGUUAUUUAUACAUACAAUAGCUCUGUUUUACGAAUCUUGUGUUUAUAAUAGACCUAUUGUUAUAAAAAUCUAACUCAAUUAAAUAUCUCCCAUACAGUUUUUAAUUGAUACUGACAAGACUAACCAACAUAUUUUAACUUAUUGUCAACCCCUCACCUUUUAAAUAAGUACCUAUCCUAAUCAUUUGGUCUCCAACUCCUAUAUUUACAUAAUUUUAUUUGAAUUAUACCUAUACCAUUAUUUGUUUUAUUUCAGAACCAAACAUAACAAUGCAAACCCAACUACACUCUUUGUUGAACUAAAACCCAUGAUAAACCACUGAUCAAACCAUCCACUGUGACAAAACAUUCACAAUCCCUCACUACUUAUAGACCAAAGUUACUAUUCUACAAUAAGAUAUGACAUACUUUUUGAAUGCUGAUGAUGAUGAUGAUGUUCUCUAUUUGACAACCAAACUCUGAGAUUAUACACUAUGAAGUAAACAUCCUGACUCAGAUGAAGAAGUGUAUUGCAACCGCGCUCAAAAUAGGAACAACUAAACUACCCACAUAGUUCUUAAACUUACAAACAAUAUAUUGAUACUAAAUGAGGUCCUAGCCUACUUCACCUGGUCUAACACUUUAUCAACAACAGUAACUUGCUACACAUUAAUUGUUUUCUAAAUUUAUUGUUAUAUCUGACCGCUAUCCUUUCAUCAUAUAUUUCUUUAAUAUUUUUUUUUAUGAGAUUAUUCUUAAUUUUCUUUUCUUUAUUAACUGUAACUCAUACUUGUAUUCGUUUAGGAAAAUGUCUGAUAAUAUCUGCUACUAAUUGGCUCUCUGAAAUCUGAUAAUUAGACAUUUGGGCUUUUCCGGUUACUCUAAGUUAGAAUGAUAGCAUAGAUAGUGUUACAGUUCUAUCCCAACUCCUAUGAUCAAUGUUGUAUAAUAUAUCUACUCUUUCAGACA